rnacentral:rRNA from 1 species
AUUGAACGCUGGCGGCAGGCCUAACACAUGCAAGUCGAACGAGUGGCGGACGGGUGAGUAAUGUCUGGGAAACUGCCUGAUGGAGGGGGAUAACUACUGGAAACGGUAGCUAAUACCGCAUACCAUCGGAUGUGCCCAGAUGGGAUUAGCUAGUAGGUGGGGUAAAGGCUCACCUAGGCGACGAUCCCUAGCUGGUCUGAGAGGAUGACCAGCCAAAUGGUAAUGGAGACACGGUCCAGACUCCAACGGGAGGCCGAAGUGGGGAAUAUUGCACAAGGGGCUGAAGCGUGAUGCAGCCAUGCCGCGUGUAUGAAGAAGACCUUCGGGUUGUAAAGUACUUUAAGAGGGGAGGCGUUACCCGCAGAAGAAGCACAGGCUAACACCGUGCCAGCAGCCGCGGUAAUUC